CUGAGAAAACAGGCUCAAAGAGGUUGCGUACUCAAUUGCAUCCAACUCUUUGCAACCUCCCAGACUGUAGCCCACCAGGCUCUUCUGUCCAUAGGAUUUGUCAGGAUCAUGAUUUUAUGACUAAUUAGUCAUGACUGAUGCAUCAAGUCUCUCUGUCUCCCUGAUGAAGGAAUUACCCUACGUUUCUAACUGAACCUGAUCAAGAGGACAGGUCAUGCUUAGGAGACUGCAGUAGUUGGAUUUGGGAUGGACCCAUUGCUUACCUCAAAGUCACCUGAACGAAGUAGAUUAAAAAUGGGAAAUUGAGAGGCUUCCCUGGUGGCUCAGUGGUGGAGAAUCUGCCUGCAAAUUCAGGAGACACAGGUUCGAUCCCUGGCCUGGGAAGAUCCCACAUGCCA
ensembl:lncRNA